rnacentral:rRNA from 1 species
ACGUACACUCCUGCGGGAGGCAGCAGUGGGGAAUAUUGCACAAUGGGCGCAAGCCUGAUGCAGCCAUGCCGCGUAUAUGAAGAAGGCCUUCGGGUUGUAAAGUACUUUCAGCGGGGAGGAAGGCGAUAAGGUUAAUAACCUUGUUGAUUGACGUUACCCGCAGAAGAAGCACCGGCUAACUCCGUGCCAGCAGCCGCGGUAAUACGGAGGGUGCAAGCGUUAAUCGGAAUUACUGGGCGUAAAGCGCACGCAGGCGGUCUGUCAAGUCGGAUGUGAAAUCCCCGGGCUCAACCUGGGAACUGCAUUCGAAACUGGCAGGCUAGAGUCUUGUAGAGGGGGGUAGAAUUCCAGGUGUAGCGGUGAAAUGCGUAGAGAUCUGGAGGAAUACCGGUGGCGAAGGCGGCCCCCUGGACAAAGACUGACGCUCAGGUGCGAAAGCGUGGGGAGCAAACAGGAUUAGAUACCCGAGUAGUCCCAUGA